UCUCCAUUAGCGCCGUCACAAGUCAGUCACACUAUAAGGCCGCCGCCACCUCAACUUCCUUCCUUUUCUCGAAUCAAUCCUCAAUUCCUAGAUUGUUCAAAGUCGUGUCCGUAAAGUACUGGGUUAGAAGACUUGGGCUGUGCAAUUCAGUUAACAAAAUUGUCCAGUGCUGCUGCUGCAAUUACGUAUACUACAGUUCCUCCUCAUGGAGUAGAGGAAAAAACGGUGCAAGAAGAACUCUCUCUUCCAAUUUUACUGGCAGAUCGUGUCAUAAAAUCAACCCAAGAAGCUGAAUCUUCGAAGCAUGACUGUUCUGAAUUGGCAAAACAAGUUGACCGCCUUUCCCAAAUCCUCCGGUCUGCCGUCCGCCUUGCCAUCUCCACUCCUUCCCUCUAUGAUCGUCCUCUCCGCCGUAUCGCUUCCGACAUCACCAAAACCUUGACCGUGCACUAACUGUAGUCCGCAAAUGCAAGAAACAUAGUGGGGUACUUCGUCAAGUGUUUUCUAUCACUACAACUGCUGAUUUUCGAAAGGUUACGAAUCUUUUAGUGUCUUCUAUUGGUGAUAAGAAAUGGUUGCUUUCGAUUUUUGAGUCUGAUGGUGGUGCUCAUUUGUCUUUGCCUCCUAUUGCUAGUAAUGAUCCUAUUCUUGCUUGGGUCUGGUCUUCUAUUUCUGCUGUUCAAAGGGGUCAAGUUAAGGAUCGUGUUGAUGCCGCCAAUCACAAGACCAUUGAUGUCUUUGUUGUCUAAUCAUUUGGAUUUGUAAGUAGUGUAUGAUAAUCCUGUUAAAACUAGUAUUUCCUCACUUGUCGAAAUGAACAAACAAUUAGCUUAUAAGAAUGUUAAGGCUAAUUAUAAUUCGGACAGUAGUAGCCAUGGUGGUUCACAUAAUAAGAAGGAGAGGGAAAUGGAGACACCAGAGGUGCAUCUUAAGCUUAAGGUUAAGGUUAGUUGUGCUGAGGCAUUAUGGAAACUGUCAAAAGGGAGUUUGUCUAAUAGCAGGAAGAUUACGGAGAUGAAAGGCUUGCUUUGUUUGGCAAAGAUUGUUGAGAGGGAAAAGGGGAAUGCAGUUUAAUUGUCUGAUGACCAUUACGGAGAUCACAGCGGUGGCAGAGUCCAAUGCUGAUCUUAGACAUGCAGCUUUUAAGCCUAAUUUGCCUGGUGCAAAGGCGUUUUUGGAUUAGCUUUUAAGAGUGAUUCAAGAAGAAAGUGAUCCAAAGUUGCAGAUUCCUGCUAUUAGGUCUAUUGGUUGCUUGGCUCGAACAUUUCCUACAAGGGAGACUCGAAUAAUGAGGCCUUUGGUUUCUCAUCUAGGAAUGUGGAUAUCGCUACAGAAGCUGCAAUGGCCUUGGGGAAGUUCGCAUGUCCAGAAAAUUUCAAUUGUUCAGAGCAUUCAAAAGCAAUUAUAGAAUUUGAUGGGGUCCCCCCUUCAAUGAAAUUACUACGGUCUGGAGGCUCAACUACAGGGACUUGUAUUAUUAUGCUACCUUGCAUUGAAUGCUGGGAACAGGAAGGCUCUUGAGCAAGCACGCUCCUUGAAUGCUCUCGAGGGGACUGCUCGAUCUGUUUUAGCUCAACAUCCUGAAUUGAAGGAUUUGACUGCCAAGGCCAUACUCCACCUCAUUCUUUAUCAUUCUGGAGCUACUCUUAAUAGACAGUCUCUGGCAUCAUGAUCACUACUGUUGCCAGAACAACUCAUCCUUUUUAUACAUUUAUAUUCAACCUUGAAGCUCUGAAGAUACCCCUGCAUCAGGGUUGGGUUUGGUUUACAGCUUGCAAUUUAAUAAGCUUGUGUUUCCACCUCUGUUUGAGAUCGCUGUUGGAUUAUUGUUCCACCGUUGUAACCAUUUGCAGCAAUCCAAACACUUCACGAGGAUGCAUAUGUCAAUAUACUCAGAAACCGAGAAUACCAAGAGAGUUUUUGAAAACCUUCCAGCC